GACAGAGGGUGCAAACGUUGUUCGGAAUUACUGGGCGUAAAGCGCGUGUAGGCUGCUUGGAAAGUCGGGUGUGAAAGCCCUGAGCUCAACUCAGGAAGUGCACUCGAAACUUCCAAGCUCGAGUCCUGGAGAGGGUGGCGGAAUUCUCGGUGUAGAGGUGAAAUUCGUAGAUAUGGGGAGGAACACCGGUGGCGAAGGCGGCCACCUGGACGGUAACUGACGCUGAGGCGCGAAAGCGUGGGGAGCAAACAGG
rnacentral:rRNA from 1 species